AAAUUAUUAUUCAAUUUGGUGAAUUUGUAUUUGUUGGUAUUCUGGAAUAUAAAUCUCUGAAAAAGGGACACCCCAUUGCAAGUAGAUAUGAGGAUGGCAGUCAUUUUCUUCCUCCAACCCUUAACACUGUCUUGGAGAGUUCCCAUGUUCCGGUUGAAUAUUUUGGUACUGAAAAAUGUCUUCAGGAAAGCAACAAUUGUUUUCCUAGAAAAAAAACCUGAGAACUCAUUUCUCUCUUUAGGUUGCCUGACAUUUGUAGCUGAGUGAAACCAUGGUGAGCAUUGAUUUAUUUUACUAUAAAAUUAUCAGUUUUACUCACUCAAACAAUCCUUUUAUAUUAAAAAUAUUUUAAAAAUAAAAGCAGGGUAUUGUUUUGCUUUACUAAAUGGAGUCACCUCUUUUUCUCUUACUUUUGACAAUUUGGUUGUCAAAUUGUGUGAAUUGUGAAAAAAUAGCCCUGAGUACAGAGAAUUUUUACCUCAGGGAUAUCAAAAAAGUCAUGUUAGUAAUAAAAUAAGCCAUUGAUUGUGUUAAAACUCAAGGUGGGUCAUUUAAUUGCAGUUAUUAAAAAGUUCUUUCAUUAUUUACCUCUGGGAGAGACUGUAGGUAGGACUGUAAGAUUAUUAAUGAAAAUGCGUGUAGAUUGGUUUAAAUGAUUCAGCUUCAUCUCACCAAGGAGUUAGCAUGUUCAUUCAUUUUACAAAAGUGUAUUGAGCACCUCGCCUACUAUGUCUUGAGUAAUUUGUUAGACAUACAAAGUUGACUAAAACAUGGACUCUGACCCCAAGGCUAAAAUGUUAUUUCACAUGUGCACAGUGCUUUACAGAUUACAAAUGACAUCAUUACAUCCUCAUAAGAAUCUCAUGAAGCAGAUGUUGGUUCCAUUUCAUUCAUGAUGAAACUAAAACAUAGAAAACAUAAUAGUCUCCCCAAGGCUGCCUGUAGCACAGUUCCUUAGAUUCCCAAUCAGGUGACCUUUCCAAACUGUAGAGAUGGCUCUAUAAUAGUUUAAAAAGGAGAGAUAAGAAAUGUCCACCAUAGGUAAAUACAAAAUAGACAGUAAUACGUACAAUCACAGAAGUUCAGCUAAAGUGGUACAGGAGUCCAGAAGACGGAGAGAUGGCUUCUGGGUAGGGGAUGGAUAAAGGGCAUAAGGACUAGGGAUAGGGAUGGAUGGACUGUGCACUUUCAGGGCAGGGGAAGAUCAUUCCAUCCAGAGCCGGAAAAGCUUCAGAAAAGCUUAAGCCAGGUGGGAUAUGGCAUGGGAAGAAUGGAAAUAGGAACAGUCAGUGGUUCAAUUUACCUUGAAGAUAGAAUAUAUCACAUGGAAUUAUUAGAGAUGAGGACAAAAAGAUGGAAAAGAAACACAUCUUCCAGGUCUUUGAUGCCAGGCCAUAAAGCUUGAAUUUUUUUUUGCUGGAAG
rnacentral:lncRNA from 1 species